rnacentral:tRNA from 1 species
ACCUGGGUGGCUCAAUGAGUUAAGUGUCUGAUUUCAAUUCAGAUCAUGAUCCUGGGGUCCUGGGAUCGAGUCCCACCGCAGGCU